UAACCAUAUGCGUCUCCGUUGUUCUAAUUACAGAUUUGGCCAUUUCUUCUCGCCCCAAACGCACCCGUCUGCCGAUACCCAACAAAACCAACACAUCUUUUGAUUUCCACCGGUUCACUCCUCCACCACACUCCACCCGCGGCCAUGAUUCUCCCGUCUUCUCUCUCCGCUUCAAUUUCUGCUGUGUGUUAUGCUUCAUCACUACCCGCCAACCCUUUCUCCACUGUCUAUGCUCUGCGUUUCCAUUCUGCCUUUCCUCUUUUCCAGCGACCAGAAGCCGGCUGCCUAUGGGGUUCCUUCCUCGCCCAGUUGUAGCCUAUGCCCAGCAUGUUUGCGGAGUCGAAUUGUCCGACCUCACUAUUCCACGACCUAUUCCGCUCGGAACUCAGAUUGCACUGGCAUCUGACUUUUUUUGUGAAUUGCAAAUCACCCAAAUGAUUCUAUCGAGUUGUUUUUCUUUGUUAUAUUGCAGCUUUUGGAGAGCAAUAUUUAGGAGGCAAUUUGGAGCUCGCACACAGUCUGCAAAUUUUAUAUGUACAUUUUUUUUUCCCCUUUUACAAGCAGCUAUACUGGUAAGAUUUCUUAUUGGAUGGGCUAAAUUGGUAGCUUAAACCUUUCUGUAGGACUACAGUUGAAGUGAGUGAGAUGUAGGGGAAUCUUAACAAUAGCAGUGGUCUGUUUGCGUUUUAGAAGAUGGAGGAAAAAUAUUAAAAUUUAUAUGCUCGAUAUGUUUGGUCUGUGUGUAACUUCAUUUAGUUACAAAAACAACUACAUGGUUGUUGUAAAUUGUUGAAUAUCAAUUAACGAAGCAGCCAGGAAAACUCAACAACUGACUAAACACUACUGUCACAAACUGUUAUCUUAUGGUUUAUCCCUGGUUUUCUGCCUCCCUUUUUAAGAGUUGUUUUGCCUACUGUAUUGUUCCAAUAAUUUGUAUAAGAAAAGAUGGAUCACUGAGCUAAUUUUCAACUUUGGUUGUUAUAUCUUCAUUUCUAAUUCAUGACCUUCUGAUUUUAAUAUGAGGAAAGCCAACUUGGCUCUAUAACGGUUAAACUAUGCCUAGCCAGGCCUUUUCCUUUUGCACAUUUAGUUAUUUUAUUGUGUGUAAUGUAAUGCAUAAAAUAAACAUUGUUGUUAUGGUUCGCCAUUGAUUCGGCGUCCUUUUCUUUUUCUUUUUUUCCCAUAUAUGACCAAAUGACUACUAUUACGAGCUCUUUUCAACAUCUUUUUAAACCCAUAUGGACUGUGGAGCCUCAAAGUAAUAGCUCAUGGGGUUGGAAAAAGCUGAUGAAGCUGAGAGAUAUCACUGAAUCGAAGGUGAGCGAUAGAGUGGGGGAUGGGAACAACGUAUCUUUCUGGUAUGACAGAUGGUGUGUUGGGGGUCCUUUGGUUAAGCUGUGUUCCAAUGGAUUGCUCCGUUUUUCCCUCUAUUGCUGCAGGGCAAAAACGGAGUCAUGUAUAUAAAGAAGGGCAAUGGAUGUGGCCUAGAUUUAGAGAUCCACAGGCUGAGUUUAUCCGGAAUACUAUUACUGCUUCUGUUGGUUAUGCUUUUCGUGGUACAGUUCUCUGGAACUCUCAGCCAAAAUUUGUGCUCGCUGAAGUUAAAAAUGAUUUAAGGGCGAAUGACACACAAGAUGAAGCUCGAGACCCACUACACAACAUUUAAGGAAAAAAAACUCCAAAUACAACGGUGCAUAUCAUACUUGUAUGGCCAAUGCAUGGUUUGGAUACACCGUUAUAUAUCAUAUAACUUCUUUUUUUUCGUCAACAGUAGCAUUUUAUUAAAGAGCAAACAUAAUAUACAUAGGAUUGCAAACAUAAUAUACAUUACUAAUUCUCCGACAAUUAUCCCAUUUGGGUUACCAAUAAUUAUAUAGAUCUGGAACUUUAUCAUUGUA